UCCAGCAGCCGCGGUAAUACGUUCCCGGGUCUUGUACACACCGCCCGUCACACCACGAGAGUUUACAACACCCGAAGCCGGUGGGGUAACCCGCAAGGGAGCUAGCCGUCGAAGGUGGGGUAGAUGAUUGGGGUGAAGUCGUAACAAGGUAGCCGUAUCGGAAGGUGCGGCUGGAUCACCUCCUUUCUAAGGAAAUACCCAACUACGAUGAUAGUUGGAUACUCAGGCAGAUUUUAUUGCUCACUCGUUGUCAGUUUUGAAAGAACAACCGACCCCUAAAAAGUGAAGAAAAGCGUUGCAGCUUAUUCCGAUUACUUUUCGGGGAUCCCGGAAACCGUCUUUCAAACAAAAUCCGUUUGGUGGCGAUGGCGGAGGGGAACCACGCGUUCCCAUACCGAACACGACCGUUAAGCCCUCCAGCGCCAAUGGUACUUAGACCGCAGGGUCUUGGGAGAGUAGGACGUCGCCAAGCGGGUGUCAUGUUACACCUUCGCAGCAGCCGCAAGGCUCAGCUGUGAUUUACUUUGCACCUUGAAAACUGGAUAACGAAAGAAAAGAAUUGCUGAAACAUCCUUUAGCAAAGCAUAUGCUUUCGAAGUAACUUUACUUCGUAAAGUUUAAGGUUAAGCUAUUAAGAGCGCACGGAGGAUACCUAGGCACACAGAGA
rnacentral:misc_RNA from 1 species